UUUCAUUAAAAUUAACAAUAAACAUUACAUUAAUUUAAAUACAAUACAAUCAAUAAAAAUAUUACAAUAAUUAUAAAUUAGGUAAAAAAAUUAAAAGGAACUAGAAAAUGGUAAAUUUUAAAAUUCAAAAAAUAAAAAACAAUAAAUAAAACAAAAGAUAUUAAAAAAAAGUCAAAAUCAUUUAACCCUACCUGCCCGCCGGCCCCACCAACCCUUUUAUUAUCUUCUUCUUCCCCAUCUUCUUCCUCCAGCCCUCUGCAAUCUCUCAUCUCUUUCUAAUUUUUCAUUUUUUUCAAUUCUCGGGCGUGUAGGGGACGCGCUCCCC
rnacentral:lncRNA from 1 species